AGCGAACGCUGGCGGCAGGCUUAACACAUGCAAGUCGAGCGGGCACUUCGGUGUCAGCGGCAGACGGGUGAGUAACACGUGGGAACGUACCCUUUGGUUCGGAACAACUCCGGGAAACUGGAGCUAAUACCGUAUGUGCCCGAGAGGGGAAAGAUUCAUCGCCUUCAGAUGGGCCCGCGUCAGAUUAGCUAGUUGGUGAGGUAAUGGCUCACCAAGGCGACGAUCUGUAGCNGGUCUGAGAGGAUGACCAGCCACACUGGGACUGAGACACGGCCCAGACUCCUACGGGAGGCAGCAGUGGGGAAUAUUGGGACAAUGGGCGCAAGGCCUGGAUCCAGCCAUGCCGCGUGAGUGAUGACGGCCUUAGGGUUGUAAAGCUCUUUCGCUCGCGACGAU
rnacentral:rRNA from 1 species